UAUCUGGAUGCUGUGGACUGGCCAAGUUGGUACAUAAAAUUAACUGCUCUGGUACGCCACUUUGGCUUGCAAAUGAUCACUUUUGCUAUUUUCGAGGCCAAACUGGAAUGCUGGAGUUCUAAAUUCUGCGUAUCCCUUCUUGCAUGUGUCUUGUUGUCGACUUGCGCCAUCUUUCCCUGUGUUUCAGGCCUCACAAGAUUAAAACUUGGUAAGAAAGUAGACACGGAAGUGUGUCUCUGUCCAGUUCCACCUAAACUGUGCUGGCAGAAACUUUGGCUCCUGCUGCUUAGCUCCUUCAGCGACCUGCGAGUCUGUCUCACGAAAAGAUACCGACCGCCAUCUUGAAUUUCUAAGCACUAAACACGAAGAGAUGUGAGUUUCUCAAAAUGUGCAGAGAGCCCAAGGAACCAGAUAAGGGCUUAUAAGUCCCAUUCCAUAAAAAAGAGCAGAGCACCUCGGGGAGAGGGCCUAAGAUGCUUCAGACCCUCUGAGCCCCUUUGUCUGCGUGGAACGGGUCUCUAGUCGCGGGUGGACAAAGCGUAGGAUGAGUGACAAACAGACGCACACAGGAGAGGUCGAGGAAUCUGAAUGUCAUUUUUCAAAUCGAGCAUCAGACUUUUUAUGCAGAAGACAAUAAGGAAGUUGGAUGACAUACCUGCAAGGUACAAAUGAGGUA
rnacentral:lncRNA from 1 species